rnacentral:rRNA from 1 species
AUUGAACGCUGGCGGCAGGCCUAACACAUGCAAGUCGAGCGGAGCGGCGAACGGGUGAGUAACGCGUGAGUAACUGCCCCCCUCUCUGGGAUAACAGUUGGAAACGGCUGCUAAUACCGGAUAGUGGGGGAUGACUCGGGUCCUAUCAGCUUGUUGGUGGGGUAGUGGCCUACCAAGGCGACGACGGGUAGCCGGCCUGAGAGGGUGACCGGCCUCAUUGGGCUGAGUUACUGCCCAAAGUCCUUCUGGGGGCAGCAGUGGUGAAUAUUGCACAAUGGGGGAAACCCUUAUCCAGCACCGCCGCGUGCGGGGUGAUGUCCUUCCGAUUGUAAACCGCUUUCAGCCAUGACGCGGUAGUGGCAGAAGAAGCACCGGCUAACUACGUGCCAGCAGCCGCGGUAAUAC